rnacentral:rRNA from 1 species
AUACGUAGGUGACAAGCGUUAUCCGGAUUUACUGGGCGUAAAGGGCGUGUAGGCGGUCUUGCAAGUCAGAAGUGAAAUUCCUGAGCUCAACUCGGGCGCUGCUUCUGAAACUGCAGGACUUGAGUGCUGGAGGGGAUAGCGGAAUUCCUAGUGGAGCGGUAAAAUGCGCAGAUAUUAGGAAGAACACCGGUGGCGAAGGCGGCUAUCUGGACAGUAACUGACGCUGAGGCGCGAAAGCGUGGGGAGCAAACAGGAUUAGAUACCCUGGUAGUCCACGCUGUAAACGAUGAAUACUAGGUGUCAGGUGGCGAAGCCAUUUGGUGCCGACGCAAACGCAUUAAGUAUUCCACCUGGGGAGUACGUUCGCAAGAAUGAAACUCAAAUGAAUUGACGGGG